AUCCUUUAGUAUCAACGUAGCACGCGAAUAGUUCACAGCAGUUUUCCUAUGAAAGAGUUUUUCAUUUUAUUUUAUUUUGAUUUCGGAACUUCAUAACGUUUUUAAAUGCUUUGUUGUUAAGUCGAACAAAUGUUGCAGCUGAGUGCAAACAGUAUGAUGGCGUUGAGAAUGAAGCGCAUCUGAAAGAUCAAAGUAAGCCUGGGCUUUGAUCUUUUCGAAACUAUAAAAGCAUUAGUUUUCUGGCAAGCCGCAAGUAGGGAAGCUAUCCGAAGGCCCGCUAUGGAGCAGCAUGCAGAAAGGGGUCCCCCAAGCAUUCAUAAUCGGGCCACGGAGUAAUCUCAAUAGAAGAAUUAAAAUUGUCAGCAAGCUCAAUCGCUGUCCUGUCGCUACUCAGCUGUCAACAAUUCCAAAAUACUCGUCUAUUCAAAGCAACUACCAUCGACAAUGAACCGUACAAGGGAUGCGCUUCAGAGUCAAUGAGCGCAUCAAGCAGACACUCGAAUGUUCGAUGAAUUUUACAUUGUGCAAAAUUAUCGAAAUUCAAUGUUAUUUUAAUAAGCAACAUUUUAAUUAAAGACGUCCAUUACUACACGUAAGAAAGAGAAGGCCACUGAAUCAUAAAUU